rnacentral:rRNA from 1 species
UAACACGGUGGGGAACCUGCCCCAUAGUCUGGGAUACCACUUGGAAACAGGUGCUAAUACCGGAUAAGAAAGCGGAUCNCAUUAUCAGCUUUUAAAAGGCGGCGUAAGCUGUCGCUAUGGGAUGGCCCCGCGGUGCAUUAGCUAGUUGGUAAGGUAAAGGCUUACCAAGGCGAUGAUGCAUAGCCGAGUUGAGAGACUGAUCGGCCACAUUGGGACUGAGACACGGCCCAAACUCCUACGGGAGGCAGCAGAG